rnacentral:rRNA from 1 species
GACGAACGCUGGCGGCGGGCUUAACACAUGCAAGUCGAACGGAAAGGCCCUGCUUUUGUGGGGUGCUCGAGUGGCGAACGGGGGAGUAACACGUGAGUAACCUGCCCUUGACUUUGGGAUAACUUCAGGAAACUGGGGCUAAUAUCGGAUAGGAGCCCCUGCUGCAUGGUGGGGGUUGGAAAGUUGCGGCGGUUGGGGAUGGACGCGCGGCUUAUCAGCUUGUUGGUGGGGUAGUGGCUUACCAAGGCUUUGACGGGUAGCCGGCCUGAGAGGGUGAACGGCGACCAUGGGACUGCGAUACGGACCAGACUCCUACGGUGGGCAGCAGUGGGGAGUAUUGCCCAGUGGGCGGAAGCCUGAUGCGGCGGCGCCGCGUGCGGAAUGACGGCCUUCGGGGUGUGAACAGCUGUCGCCUGUGACGAAGCGUGAGUGACGGUAAUGGGUAAAGAAGCACCGGCUAACUACGUG